rnacentral:rRNA from 1 species
GCCAGACUCCUACGGGAGGCAGCAGUGGGGAAUAUUGCACAAUGGGGGAAACCCUGAUGCAGCGACGCCGCGUGAGUGAAGAAGUAUUUCGGUAUGUAAAGCUCUCUCAGCAGGGAAGAAAAUGACGGUACCUGAUUAAGAAGCCCCGGCUAACUACGUGCCAGCAGCCGCGGUAAUACGUAGGGGGCGAGCGUUAUCCGGAUUUAUUGGGCGUAAAGCGUGUGUAGGCGGUUUAUUAAGUCUAAGAUUAAAGCCUGGAGCUUAACUUCAGUUCGUCUUAGAAACUGGUAGACUUGAGUGUGGUAGAGGCAAGUGGAAUUUCUAGUGUAGCGGUUAAAUGCGUAGAUAUUAGAAGGAACACCAGUGGCGAAGGCGACUUGCUGGGCCAUUACUGACGCUGAGACACGAAAGCGUGGGGAGCAAAUAGGAUUAGAUACCCCGGUA